UAUAUUCUUCAAAAUAACUCUUCACUUCAUCACUAAUAUUUUGUUAGUUCGCUGAAUAAAAUGGUUUAUCUUGAUUCUAAGGUUGUGGCAGCCGUUGCAAUAGUUACAAUAAUUUUUUUAAUAUAUUAUUGGUUUAAUAGAAGACGACAAAAAGUUUCAAAUUUUUCUUUAGUACUUACACAGUUGUACCGAGAUUUACUCAAAAUCCUUUUUUGUCCUUAUAUUGGGUAAAA
rnacentral:lncRNA from 1 species